AUUGAACGCUGGCGGCAGGCCUAACACAUGCAAGUAGAGCGGAUGAAGGGAGCUUGCUCCUGGAUUCAGCGGCGGACGGGUGGGUAAUGCCUAGGAAUCUGCCUGGUAGUGGGGGAUAACGUCCGGAAACGGGCGCUAAUACCGCAUACGUCCUGAGGGAGAAAGUGGGGGAUCUUCGGACCUCACGCUAUCAGAUGAGCCUAGGUCGGAUUAGCUAGUUGGUGGGGUAAAGGCCUACCAAGGCGACGAUCCGUAACUGGUCUGAGAGGAUGAUCAGUCACACUGGAACUGAGACAGGGCCCAGACCCCUACGGGAGGCAGCAGUGGGGAAUAUUGGACAAUGGGCGAAAGCCGAUCCAGCCAUGCCGCGUGUGUGAAGAAGGUCUUCGGAUUGUAAAGCACUUUAAGUUGGGAGGAAGGGCAGUAAGUUAAUACCUUGCUGUUUUGACGUUACCAACAGAAUAAGCACCGGCUAACUUCGUG
rnacentral:rRNA from 1 species